rnacentral:rRNA from 1 species
AGUUGGUAGGGUAAAAGCCUACCAAGGCGACGAUCAGUAGCUGGUUUGAGAGAAUGAUCAGCCACACUGGGACUGAGACACGGCCCAGACUCCUACGGGAGGCAGCAGUGGGGAAUAUUGGACAAUGGGCGCAAGCCUGAUCCAGCAAUGCCGCGUGUGUGAAGAAGGCCUGAGGGUUGUAAAGCACUUUCAAUUGUGAAGAAAAGUUUAAGGUUAAUAGCCUUAGACCCUGACGUUAACUUUAGAAGAAAGACCGGCUAACUCCGUGCCAGCAGCCGCGGUAAUACGGAGGGUCCGAGCGUUAAUCGGAAUUACUGGGCGUAAAGCGUACGUAGGUGGCUAGAUUAGUCGGAUGUGAAAGCCNUGGGCUCAACCUGGGAACUGCAUUCGAUACUGUCUGGCUANAGUAUAGUAAAGGGAAGUGNAAUUCCCGGUGUAGCGGUGAAAUGCGUAAAUUCCGGAGGAACNCCAGUGGCGAAGCGGCUUCCUGGACUAA